rnacentral:rRNA from 1 species
CCUACGGGCGGCAGCAGUGGGGAAUAUUGGGCAAUGGGCGCAAGCCUGACCCAGCAACGCCGCGUGAAGGAAGAAGGCUUUCGGGUUGUAAACUUCUUUUCUGAGGGACGAAGAAAGUGACGGUACCUCAGGAAUAAGCCACGCCUAACUACGUGCCAGAAGCAGCGGCAAUACGUAGGUGGCAGGCGUUAUCCGGAUUUAUUGGGUGUAAAGGGCGUGUAGGCGGGAAGGUAAGUCAGAUGUGAAAAUUCAGGGCUCAACCCUGAGCCUGCAUUUGACACUGGUUUGCUUGAGUGCUGGGGAGGCAAGCGGAAUUCGGGGUGUAGCGGUGAAAUGCGUAGAUAUACGGAAGAACACCGGUGGCGAAGGCAGAUUGCGGGAGAGCAACUGACGCUGAGGCGCGAAGGCGUGGGGAGCAAACAGGAUUAGAUACCCCAGUAGUC